UAGGCAGAAGCCUGAUAGGUUUAGGGCAUUUAGCUGUUAACUAAAGUUUCAUGGGAUCGAAGCCCAUCUGUCUAG
rnacentral:tRNA from 1 species